rnacentral:rRNA from 1 species
UAAUGAUUCACACGCCGACUGCUAUCAGUAUUUUUGUGUGCCUGAGUAUGGUACAGCUAAUGGCCGUCUUCAUUUCCAUGCGGUGCACUUUAUGCGGACACUUCCUACAGGUAGCGUUGACCCUAAUUUUGGUCGUCGGGUACGCAAUCGCCGCCAGUUAAAUAGCUUGCAAAAUACGUGGCCUUAUGGUUACAGUAUGCCCAUCGCAGUUCGCUACACGCAGGACGCUUUUUCACGUUCUGGUUGGUUGUGGCCUGUUGAUGCUAAAGGUGAGCCGCUUAAAGCUACCAGUUAUAUGGCUGUUGGUUUCUAUGUGGCUAAAUACGUUAACAAAAAGUCAGAUAUGGACCUUGCUGCUAAAGGUCUAGGAGCUAAAG